GGCCAGUUGGCUCAGUCAGUUGAGCAUAGGUGCUAACAACGCUAAGGUCACGGGUUCGAUUCCCGUUUGGUCC
rnacentral:tRNA from 1 species